CGCACGGUGGCUUAGUGGUUAGCACAUUAGCCUCACACCUCCAGGGUCGGGGGUUCAUUUCCCUCCUGUGUGU